rnacentral:lncRNA from 1 species
ACUCCCAAGCGCCUUUGACACCUUGAUGACACCUGGGGCACUGAGACACUAGAGAGGAAAAUUUCGAGGAAAGAUUUCAACUUGGCUAUUAGACAGUGUGGACCUUAGAGAAGAAGUUUUAGGGGUCACCUGAUGAAUGUGUGCCGGGCAGACAUCCGGUUCAUGUCCCAUAGCAGGGUAUUUGGGCUGGAGUAAUUGUCUGGCUAACUGAAUGUACAUGGUAUUAUUAUUAUUAUUAUUAUUAUUAUUAUUAUUAUUAUUUUAGCAAACAUUGAAUGUGUUCUAAGCUAUAUUCAAAAUAAAUUUGAAUUUGGUAUU